CUUAGGUUGUCGAUCGAUUUAGUACGAGAUUUACGAUCGUUCUUAAACAGCAACUGCAAUACAAAAUGAUACUCAAUGGACAAAAACAUGCUAGCUUUUAACGAGAUGAAAAUGCAAGGUAAGACUUUAUUGUUGAAUUUAAAUAAAUUUUACAACAAAAA